CCACGAACUGUUAUGUUUGGAGUCUAUUUGUCCAGAAGGAAUUGAUCAAUUUAAGCCACUUAUUGAAGAUUUUAUAUAUCAAAAAGCUGAUAUCCACAACUCUGAAAGUUCACGUGAGAGAGAAAAGCUAUCGUUACUUUACAUAAGGUUCCUGCAUCGUUUUGGAGAUUAUGAUGACCUUAUGAUUGCUAACUGGCAGCAUGCGAUAGUCUUUUUGGAUCCCCGGAUCAGUUCAGAGCAAAACAGGCAUGGGGCAGAUAAGGUUCUCACUUCAUAUAUGAUGAAAAGGGUAAAAAUUAAGAAUGACGCACAGCUUCACACUUCGCGGCAAGCUCAAGAUGGCCCUGCACAAAAACAUCAGUGGCACCCUGCCUAUCUCCACCCGCCACAAGCAUUAACACCUGCUUACGGCGCAAAUCCUGCACGCCCUCAAACUUUGCAAGCCGCUCCUGCACAAUCACAUCAGUGGAACACCACUGCCUAUGGCCAUCACGCUGGCUAUAAUAUUGUUUAAUCAACGGGGUCUUUAGAAUGUUGUUGUGUAGUUUUUUUUUUGACAACUUGUGGUAGUCAUACACGCCAAGUCACGAUUUUAUACUUGGUUCAGGAAGUUUUACAGAGAGCAUAGUAGUCGGAUUCAUCAUAUGGUGUAUGGAUAAGUUAAUUACUAACUAAUUCCAGUUUCAAGA